UUGAGUUUUGGACUAAUUUGUAAAAGAGCCACACUUGAACCCUAUUGGCUAAGUCUGAAAUCAAUGUAAUUAGCUCAACUUUGGAGCUCUAUAUCUGCCAAAUUAUAAGGUUUUUGCCCUAUGUUACCACAUCAAUUUUGUAGAUCUAUCAAAGGUGAACAACUUUGUUUAAGGGGUUAAACAUUGUUGUUAUGAAGAAUUUGGAGAUAAAUACACCCAAAGUUAGGCUUUCAGGCUAUUUGAAGUCUGAAUUUGGACGGCCAGUGGGUUUGAACAGACUUUGAGCUCAAUUCUAAGCAGGAUCCAGCAAGAAUUUGUUCUGGAAUAUUAUAGCAAAGAUGAAGAUGGUAUGUUGGACUACAACUUUGCUGCAGAGCCUUGGAUACGAGAAAAUCCAGCUUCAAGUUGCUCUGUUAGACAACUGAAGAUGAAUGCCAUUUUACAGUGACCUGAACAGGAUCAGAUCGACAACAAUCCCUCGUCGCCGACGAUCUUUACGCCGUGAUUCACGCUGUCGCCAUGAUUCGUGUUCACUUGCGAGGGGAUAACUA
rnacentral:lncRNA from 7 species